rnacentral:rRNA from 1 species
CCUACGGGGGGCAUCAGUGAGGAAUAUUGGUCAAUGGACGCAAGUCUGAACCAGCCAUGCCGCGUGCAGGAAGACGGCUCUAUGAGUUGUAAACUGCUUUUGUACGAGGGUAAACGCAGAUACGCGUAUCUGUCUGAAAGUAUCGUACGAAUAAGGAUCGGCUAACUCCGUGCCAGCAGCCGCGGUAAUACGGAGGAUUCAAGCGUUAUCCGGAUUUAUUGGGUUUAAAGGGUGCGUAGGCGGUCUGAUAAGUUUGAGGUGAAAUCCCGAGGCUCAACUUUGGAAUUGCCUCUGAUACUGUCCGGCUAGAGAGUAGUUGAGGUAGGCGGAAUGUAUGGUGUAGCGGUGAAAUGCUUAGAGAUCAUACAGAACACCGAUUGCGAAGGCAGCUUACCAAGCUACUUCUGACGUUGAGGCACGAAAGCGUGGGGAGCAAACAGGAUUAGAUACCCUUGUAGUC